UACAUGGGGUGCAAACGUUGCUCGGAAUUAUUGGCGUAAAGCGCACGUAGGUGGUCCCUUAAGUCGGAUGUGAAAUCCCUCGGCUCAACUGAGGACGUGCAUCCGAAACUGAGGGGCUAGAGUAUGGUAGAGGGUCGCGGAAUUCCCGGUGUAGAGGUGAAAUUCGUAGAUAUCGGGAGGAACACCGGUGGCGAAGGCGGCGACCUGGGUAGAUACUGACGCUGAGGUGCGAAAGCCAGGGGAGCGAACGGG
rnacentral:rRNA from 1 species